CUCUUCGUUAUAUCGCAACGUUAACGUAUACGUGGCACAAGCAAAAUUACAUAAUCGAUAAUUCUAAGUAAUUGUCAACGAUUAUGUAAGAUUCACUUGAUAAAUUCAAGAGUCCAAUAGUGUAACUCUCUAGUUCUUCUCUGAUAACUAGUUGACUGUACUAACCCUAUCUAUUUCUACACUACUUAUCAGCAAAGUAUAUAUACAUGAACAUACAUAGAUUUCCUUUAGUUGUGGCGGGGCGUAGUUGAGAUGCAUUGGAUGCAUGUACUUUACAUUUAAUUUUUCAUGUAAUUUUUAUCAUCAGGUAACAACAAUACUAUAAAUUUGUUCUAAACGGAAUUUAAACAUUUUUCUUUUACUUUUCAGCGGACUGAUAUUCAAUAAAACUACAAUAUUUUAUUCAAUAAAUCUACAAUAUUUUACGAAUCUAUUGAAUAUUUACAUGUAUAGAUUUAUUCCAACUGAAAAAUUCAAAUCGCUUGUGCCUUGUAUGUAGCCUUUUCUGUAUAACUUUAACAGUGUAUUAUACAAAAUAAUAAUACUACUGGACUAUGGAUGCAUGUGAGCAACAUCUUGAUAUUACGAUAGAUGAAAAUGAAAUUUUUGAUGGCGUUAAAGGUGUUAUAAAGAAAAUUAGACCGUCAUGGCCUUUACAGCAGCUGCAUUUUAAGACAUUUACUAACGGAAUAUCAAAUAAAUUAGUAGGGGUAUGGCACUUGGAUCGUUAUACGGAUAUGGUUUUGACUAGAAUCUAUGGGAACAACACAGAUUUGCUGGUUGAUAGAAAAAAGGAAUUAGAAAAUAUUCGGAUACUGCACAAGGCUGGUUAUACCCAUUGCAUUUACGCUACAUUUAACAAUGGAUUCGCCUAUCAAUUCUUGGAAGGCGACACGCUGACAGUGGAAGCGGUCAGGGACCCACAAGUAUACCCAUUAAUAGCAAGACGUCUGGCUGAGAUGCACAAAGUUGAGAAUGAGAAUAUACCGAAAGAAGCGUUCAUCUGGGAAAAGAUGGAGAAAUAUAUGGAAAUUAUGCCGAGAAAGUUUUCCGAUUCCCUUAAACAAACGAAGUUCGAGAUAUUGAUACAACCAUACGCGGUAUUGGAAAAGGAAUAUCAAAUAUUGAAGGAGGAACUUUCGACAUUGGACAGUCCUGUGGUGUACGCUCACAAUGACCUUUUGCUGACAAACAUUUUGUACAAUCGGCGGAAAAAGAGCGUUGCUUUUAUCGAUUACGAAUAUACCGCAUUUAAUUAUCAGGCAUUCGACAUUGCCAAUCAUUUCGCGGAAUAUGCCGGUCUCGAACCUGUACCCAACUAUUCCUUGUAUCCGGACAAAGAAUUCCAAAAAGUGUGGUUGAGAGAAUAUUUGCGAACGUACAAUGCGACGAGCGAGGUGUCCGAAGAAGAAGUCGAUAAGUUGUAUCAAGAAGUUGCUAAAUUCUCCCCCUUUCCGCACUUCUUUUGGGGCUGCUGGUCUCUCAUUCAAAGCAUGCAUUCGACCAUCGAUUUCGACUUUUUGGAGUAAGUAAAUGUUGACAAAUUUCGAAGAAAAUUUCUGUAUACAAGAAAGCCAGUAGCGGUAGCUGAUCGUGGGAAAAUUACUUUGUUAACCGAAUACAUCGGUGUUAGAAAGGUUCCCAAUACGCCGCGGCACGUUUUAACGAAUAUUUCAGGCGGAAGGAAGACAUUUCUGAGUUGAAGAUAGAUAAUGAAUGAAUAAGUAGCGU